GGCAGGGGUCUGAGACUACUUUUGAGAAGAGAAACAACGCAAAACGAUCGCUGGAGGGCCAGAGCCCUGGUCGAAGGUGCCCUAGCUUUUAUGACCUGGUUAAUUGUGUCUCCUUUUUAUUUUUAUUUUUUUCCUUACCACUACUACUACUACUACUUUUAUUUUUUUUUAACCGAUACACUUUGGAGAGAAGAAGCAGACACAGGUUCCCACGGCGUCUGACGCCUGCGGAGCAAGUCCAGAGCCAGCUGGACUCGCAGCCUCUGGCCCGGCGGCACCAACUCCUCACUGGGUCAUUUUGAGCGCGCUGUGCCCACCUUUUCUGUUGCGUGUGGACGUGGGGAGGAUCUUCUAAGUCCCUCCAACGAAGGCAAGUGUGAGACUCUGGCCCUUUAUUUGUAAGAAGCAAGCCUUCAGAUUGCAGAAGUGUCGCGCGGGUCGCCGUGCGUUGCGCGAGUGGGAAGAUGGAGGAGGCCGGCACGCUGCUUUCGUGGACGCAAGUGAACCGGGCGUGAAGGCAGGGUGCGAGCUCUGCCCUUGGCCCAGCCCUGCGUGGGCGCCGUCCCAGAUUCCGGGCGGUGCGGGGUGCAGAGAUCUGGAGAGACUUGCGGGCUCCCCAGCGCAGGCUGCUCUGGGAUUUCGUUGGAAGAUCCGGCAGAGCCUUGGAGGAGAGGGCCCGGGAGGCUGUGUGUGCAGCGGAAACUUGUACGAAUGCCCCCACAGCGGAAAUGGUGCGCACGAGUAAUUUCUGCGGUGCACCCUUUUAAAAAUUGACAAGUGAACAAGAUCAAUUUUUUAAGAAAGCAAAGGUAGAAAACAAAAGGCGUGCGACUUCUUGACUGGCUUGUUCCCGCCUUUCUUCCUUCUCUAUACUCAGAUCAGAAACUUUUCUUUAAUUGCUCUUAUUCAGUGCGACAACUUUUAAUAAAAGCAUUUGCAUUUUA
rnacentral:lncRNA from 1 species